rnacentral:rRNA from 1 species
AACGAACGCUGGCGGCAGGCCUAACACAUGCAAGUCGAACGCUGUAGCAAUACAGAGUGGCAGACGGGUGAGUAACACGUGGGAACGUACCUUUCGGUUCGGAAUAACUCAGGGAAACUUGAGCUAAUACCGGAUACGUGCGAGAGCAGAAAGAUUUAUCGCCGAAAGAUCGGCCCGCGUCCGAUUAGCUUGUUGGUGAGGUAAUGGCUCACCAAGGCGACGAUCGGUAGCUGGUCUGAGAGGAUGAUCAGCCACACUGGGACUGAGACACGGCCCAGACUCUUACGGGAGGCAGCAGUGGGGAAUCUUGGACAAUGGGCGAAAGCCUGAUCCAGCCAUGCCGCGUGAAUGAUGAAGGCCCUAGGGUUGUAAAAUUCUUUCGACGGGGAAGAUAAUGACGGUACCCGUAGAAGAAGCUCCGGCUAACUUCGUGCCAGCAG